UGGCAGGCUACAGUCGACGGGGUUGCAAAAAGUAGGACACGACUGAGCGACUAAACACAUGGUCAGCUAUGGUGGAGCUUUAUUCAGAGAGCAUCCUAAAUUCUGAAUCUGUCUUAAGAUGAUCACAUACUUCAACAUGAAGACUAAACUUGAAACAUACUACAAAAGACAAGGACUCCUUUACCCUAAACACAUAAGUGAGGUUUGAAUGAAAAUGACUGUGAAGUACGGUAAUCUAGCAACUAUGAGAAAUGUCACCCAGAAGAUGAGAAUGAUUUAGAGAUGCAACAUGUUGCUCUUCUUCAUAGAGGACACAGAGGAUCAUCCAAGGUGGCCUUCUCAUCCUCCUCCUAUCCACCCACCUCACCAUGGGUCUGCAUCCUGAAUGAACGUGUUCCUCAAAGACAGUAACUCCCACACACCAAGCGGUAUCUAGCUGUGUGGGUGAGAUAUUCUCCAGCCUCUCCAAAGCUGUGUAGAUAAGUCUGGCUGAAGGUACUGCCGCCAUCAUCUGGGGUGUGCUGUUUGUUCCUACAGGAGGUUCUCCAUCCCUGCUAAGUCACCUGUGUUGGCAACACUUCUCGCCUGGGGUGAGCCUCCGUUGGGCCUCGCAUAAGAGCCCCUGCGCCACUCCUCGCUUCAGGCAGUGGACAGUGUGGGCUGGUCCCGCCGUGAGCCACAGCCACAGCUUCGUCCUCCUGAGGGCCAGUGAGAAGCCUGACCUCAUGUCAUGGGGGGAAAGCAGUCUAAAAACCCUGGGUCUUUUUAGGUUCUGUGUGACUCCACUCCAUGGACCCGCUCUGGUUUCUGAGACUGUCUCAGUUAAAAGAUUAGUAGCUGUGGUUUCUAUUUAGGAACGCAGUCUACCAUGUGAUGCGAUGUCCAUCUUUCCCUCAAGCAAGCCAAAAGGAAAAAAAAUGGUGCAGGUGUUCUUAAGUUCUCAGAAAUUCUAGGAUUGAGCAAUGCCCUUCAUGGAUUGGCUGACCAACAGGAUAUGGGAAUUUAGGAAAGCUGCAGAUGAGGAAUCUUUCAUAAACAAACAAACAAAAAAUGGAACUUGAACUACUGGGAGUGAUGGUAUGGAUGAGAAAGAAUGUAGUCAUUUCAUCCUUGACCAAGACGGUAACAUCCUCUCUCAAUAAAGGAUUAUAGGCAAUGGAUUAACCAGUUAAUGGGUUAGCUAAUAGAAGAAACCAGGAAAAUGUCCAAACAGAUUUACCAGCCAUUAAGACUGGAGCAGUUGUAGCAUCCUUUCAAAAGCUGACCACUCAAAGAUUGCUCUGUAAUUACUCCAUUUCUUUUCUUUGGAGUUCCUUUUCCUACAUGGAAAUUGCUACUAAUGGAACUAAGGAAAAGCAUUCAUGUCCUCUCCUGGACAAGACCGAAAAAAGCAGUCUCCCUUUCCUGAGUGGCGAGCAUGAUGGCCAACUACAAGUAUCAAAGAUGGAGAGCCAGGGGGUGGAGGAGAAAAGCGGGGCUUCUCACGUACCUGCUUGAAUAUAUUCAUUUCCACAGAUCCCAUUUCUAAAGAGUUUUAAAGGGUUGGUGAUUUGAUUUUUUUUAAUUAAUUUUAUUGGUUUUGCCAUAUAUCAACAUGAAUCUGCCACAGGUAUAUACGUGUUCCCCAUCCUGAUUUGAUUUUUAAAUGGUAAAGAAAUUCCUUCAAAGGUAUAAUUAGGAGGUCAGAGGUAUUCUGGGCAUAAAAGGUUGGCCCAGCCCCAGGACAGAACCAUUUACCUUAUGGGACCUUGUCUGGUUAGAGGAAGUCCUGACUGACUCCUGUGAGUGAUCUUCCUACUUAGGAGUGUGGGGCUUUAUUCACUUGGCUUUGGGGCUUAACCCAAAUCACUGACUCAAUGGACAUGAGUUUGAGUAGGCUCCGGGAGUUGCUGAUGGACAGAGAAGCCUGGUGUGCUGCAGUCCAUGGAGUUGCAAGGAGUCAGACGUGACUGAGUGACUGAACUGAACUGACUUGGGGCUUAACAGGACAGAACCCAGGAGCUGACACUGCCAGCCUUGGUACUCGUGGCUGCGUCAUUAGUGAAUUGUUUGACAUUUUAGCAGGCACUGGCAUGUGAAUUUGGGGUUUUAUAGACCAGAUAUCAAUAUUUUAGCAAUCUUUGUAAGAAGUUCUUUUCCUUUGCCAAAUAUUUGAGAGGAAAAAUUCUCCUGAAAUGUUAAAAUAAAAAAUUUUAAAGGAGAAAGCAACAUUUUAUUGCUUAAUGGAAAGAAGAAACUAAUCUGAAAGUUUGGACUUCUGGAUGUGCGUGAGUCCUAUUUUGCACAUUGCACAUUGCUAAUUCUUAUACCAUUUCUGACUUGAGAUCUAAGUCUAAACUUAGACACUUUGAAUUACUCAGAUAAUGGAUGUGACUGUAUCUCCGUAGGAUGGCUGUGGUAUUUUGAGUAUAGUGUUGAAUUAUUUUGAUCAUUCAUGUUAAUACAUUCAUUCAGUGUAUUGUGAUGCUCUCUUUCUCAUCCACUCUCAUGUUUCUCUGUAUCCUAAAGAACAUUUAUGUCUCAAGAGAUUAUCAUAGGUAUUUUUGUUGGAAGAAAGGAGAAUUAGAGGACUGUCUAUAGAAAGAAAGAAAGAAAGUGAAGUCGCUCAGUUGUGUCCAAGUCUUUGCGACCCCAUGGACUGUAGCCUACCAGUCUCCUCCCUUCAUGGGAUUCUCCAGGCAAGAGUACUGGAGUGGGGUGCCAUUUCCUUCUCCAGGGGAUCUUCCCGACCCAGGGAUCGAACCCGGGUCUCCCACAUUCCAGGCAGACGCUUUAACCUCUGAGCCACCAGGGAAGCCCUGAGGACUGUCUAUAGUCACCCUAAAUUUGAGAAACUAUGGCUUAAACAAAAAUUAAACAGAUUUCUUUGCAGAAAGACUUCUCCAAAGUCUUCAAUACACUAUGUGUAUGCUUUGAAUUGCUAUCACUUCCCUCUCUCUCUCUCUCUUUUUUUUUUGGGGGGGGGGAGGGUAGAAUAUCUGUUAAUGUUAUUCAGGAUACUUUUCCUAUAAGAAAUUUGGGAAAUACUAUUCAGUUUAAUCAAGAUGCAGUUGGUUUAAUCAUAGCUAGAGGAUUUUGGCCUCUCACCAGAUGACUGUAAAAGUAAAGCCCUAGAACAACUAUUAUCUCCUUUUUUGGAAGGUCAUAUGAGAGAGAUAUCUAUUUGUCUCAGAGUGUAUCAUAUGCCCUUUUAAAGAAAGAGGAAAAUGAUCCAGGGGACCCCUGAAGGGCCCUGUAAUUCUCUGGCUUUAGGAUGCAGACUUUUAGAACAUUUUAUCAAUUAAUAUACCUUUGUAAAGGUUAGACUAAAUCUUAAAAAGCAUCUUUGUUAUCUACUCUUUUAUAACAAUUUCUCCAACAAAGUAGUGGUUAAAACAACAAUGAUAUUCUAUCAGCAUUUGCAUGAGUCAGCACUUCAGGAGUGGUUUAGCUGGAUUGUUCUGGCUAAGAGUCUCUAUGAAGUCGCAGUUAGGAUAUAGGCAGAGACUUCCGUCAUCUUCAGGCUCGACUGGGCUUGGAAGAUCUGCUUCUGAACGGUUUACCUAUGUCUGUUGGCAGACGAGCUCCGUUCCUCACCACGUGGGCCUCUGCUUAGGCUGCUUGAGUGUCCUCAGGACAUGACCGGUAGCUUCAUCGACUGCGAGUGCUCUGAGAGAGAAAGUGAAGAGGAAGCCUUUGCCCUUUUAAGAUCUAGUCUCUGAAGUUGUGUACUGUCACUUCCGCCCUAUGCUAUUUUUUAGAAGUGAGUCACUAAGUCUGCUAAAUCAAGGGGGGAGAUUUAGGUUUCAGUCAUUUAUGGAAGAAGGUCAGUGAAUGGGAGCAUAUUUUAAAGCCAAUACAGAAGGUUGAAAUAAUAAGGACACGAGAAGGGGCAAGAUAGGGCAGUGCCAGAAUUAUUUAGCUCAGCUCUCUGUGACAUGGUCAAGGGUCUGCAUUCUUUCCCCUUUCUGUUCCGCCACGUUUGGUGCCUUGACUUUGUGUUCCAGUUGGGCCCACACAGAGUUGCCAGAUGACUGGACAAGUACUGGCUACCAUAUCCAGUCAUAACAUCCAGCAGGAAAAAUGGUUUUGUCUUCCUUGUGACGUGAUUUUUGGGUAAGAAAACCUUUUCUGGAAGCCUUCAAUGAUUUCCUGUCUUAACUACCUGACCAGAACUGUAUCACCUACUCAAAUUAUAGGCAAGGGGAGUGGCAUUGCCGUGAAUGGCUGACAUAAAUCGGGAUGCGUUCCUGAGCUAGAGAUCAGGAAGCUUGUCCUCAGGUGGACACUGAAGUAAAUUAAGAGUUCCCUUUGCAAGAAAGAGAGGGAAACACUAUAAGCUGUUAGUUAGCUUUGGAUCCGUGAUCUCCUUCCAUGACGGUCUUCACCAUGCCUUGUGAGCAGGACAAGAGUGCCUCUUCUGUAGAAUGUAAAGGGUUAUACUUUAGACAGAAGCUCAAGUCCAAGUAGCCCCUCAGUAACUUUUAAUAUAAUGUUCAUUCUAGUUAAAAUAAGUAAAAAUUCAGAAAAUAUAAUCUCAAAAUACAUCUUUAAUAAUAUUCAGUGUUGGUGGAAGAGAGGGGUCAGAGAUUAAAGCCACUACUGACAAGGGAAUCAUGUCAUUGUUGGGGAAGUAAAGUGGGCUGUGUCUUCUCCUUUGGUCUUAGUAACCGAUACAGUAAAUUUGUCAUCUGUCCUUAUGGGAGUCUAACAUCUAAAGGGAAGUUUUGAGAUGUGUGUUACAAGGUCUAGUAUUGCAUGGAUUGUCGUACAUUUGCUCGCCCGCCUUUUCACACCCCCCGUUCCUUCCACUGCUCUUGCUCAGAGACUGCGGCAGGCCACUGGGGCCAUAGGCCGAUGCUCUUGCCUCUCUGUUAUCCUGAGCCCUGCAGAGCUAUUCAGGGUGAUUUCAGCAUCGCUCACCCAAAGCAUAUCUCCACAGCAGUUCAUUCGUCAUGUUUCAUCUGUGCUCUGUUUUAGUCAUUUCAUGGAGUUUUUACAAUUGCUCGACAGUUUCUCAAGACAAAUUCAGGGGAACAGAAGAAAGAGGAAAGAGUAGAAAUAAUCUUCUCCUGGGAGAAAGGCUAAACUUGCUUAGGUACAAAGAUAUUUGUUUAGAUACUUUGCAUUUAAUAGGUUUUUUUUUUUUUUUCCCUUUCUUUCUCUCACUCUUUCUGCCUUUCUUUCUUUUCUUUCUUUCACUUAUUUGGCUUUGAGGUCUCUGAGGGCUUCUGUUUCCCUAUCAUUCAGGGGGCAAGUGAAUGACUGGGAGUGGAAAACUCUGUCUGGCACACAGAAAUUGCCUUGACAAAUUGAAUAACAGCAGAUCCAAGACACAUAAUUAAUUCCUUAAAGAUUUUGCCUGAACUGAAAAUGUAUAAAGAUUGGUGUGCAGAUUUCUCAUUUCCUACAGAAUAUUGUGUCAGUCAUACACAUGCUAAGAGAAGGAAAGGAAGAUUUCUAUUUAAAGUCAACUUGACAGUGAUCGGGGAAUUUAACUUCAAAGUGUCUAAAUAUUUGUGGCCAGCUUAAGCUCCUCCUUACCAGCUCAAGCUCCCAGGUAAAGAAUCGGCCUGCAAAGCAGGAGACCUGGGUUCAAUCCCUGGGUCAGAAAGAUCCUCUGGUGAAGGGAAUGGCAAUCCACUCUAGUAUUUUUGCCUGGAGAUUUCUGUGGACGAGCAGCCUGGUGGACUACAGUCCAUGGGGUAACCCGCAAAGAGCUGGACACGACUGAGCGAUUAACACUUUCUAACAAGCUCCUUAGAUGUGGUGAGGAAAGUCCCUUAUUGGAGCCAGGCCUCUGCAGAGGUGGCUGUAGGUGUUGGCUCCAGAAGCUCUCAGGCUGAUUUCAUGGGGGGUCGAGGAGGGGGGUGGAGGGAGUGGAGACUUGGGGACUCCCUAACCCAUUGGCUUUUCCCUUUAAAAUGGAUUGGCAAAAUUCCUUAGUAUCCUUCUGUUUGCCUUUCUUUGGAUCAUAUAUUUGCUCUAAAUACCAUAGCACUUCAUAAAAUAUUCACAUUAUUUCACAAUUACAUAUAAUAUUUUGUCAAGAUUAAUUCGGAACCAAAGGCAUUGUAGGGCCCCCUAAGAAAGUUAAGCUGCUGGCAAAGACAGAAAUAAAUGUGUAAUAUAAAAUGUUGCACCAUUUGCUGAAUGUUCCUUUUCCUUUUGUUGUGGAGAGGGUGGGAGCACCUCUACCAUAUUGGCCCUGAUUGGCUCAGACUCUUGGUAAGAACAUCUAUGUCUGUCUGUCAUUUAUCUCUCUCUCUCUAAUGGAAAAUAUACUUAUAAUAGAAAAUAUGCAUAUAAAGAGUUCUGCAUUAGAUAUAGCUCUAGAAUAAGUUUUGUUUGUUUGUUUGUAACUGGAAUACAUGCUCCAGUGAGAUUUUUCAGUGACUAUAUAAGCUGGGUUCAUUUUAAGGAAUAAACUUCUGUUUUUUAACGUCUAUGUUUGUUCUUUCCUAAAUGGGCCACCUGAGAAUGAGCCUGUGGUCUAUGGGUUCUCUGUCCCCCUUUUUACAGUUGCCUCCCUCCACUUUACUGAUUCUAAAUUUGACCAUGAUGCCUUGCUCAGGACUCAGGACUUGAAUGUCAAGGUACCGAAGGGAGAAUUUGAGACUUCACAACUCAUAAGGAAGCAUUGUGUGAGGAAAAUAAAGAGAAACUUCUAGUGGAAAGAUCUGAAAGGAGAAACACAUUAUUUGCUUCAGGCUUCAGACUCAAGGAAAGGCUCCAUACCUUCCCUAUUUCUUUCAGAACUUGAAUUCAGAAUCAGUUGGUUAACCCAGAGACACAGAUUAAUAUAUGCAUUUCAAUUAAAUAUAAAGUCAGACUUUUUUUUGCUGACAAAAAUGGUCUGUUUUGCCUAAUUGAUUUGAAACUGAGAACUUUGCCAUUUUCCUUUUAAGGAUACACAGUUUCUAUAAAUUAAAAUAGCUAAAUCUGAAGCUUCAAGAUUUUGAGGAAUAUAUUUAAAGCAUGUAUAUUGUAUGCCAGAAAUCACAACAUUUUCAACGAUUUAAAUUUAUGAUAAAAAUUCUAGAUGUUAGAAAUCUGUGGCAUGUAGAUAGUUUGCAAACUUCUUUUAGGGGAUGUUUGGGCAAAAGUAUUUGAAGACUACUGCCUGAGAGUGUCAUAUUAUCUUAGGGCGGGGCAGAACAGGAGGAGUCCAUCACAAAAUUGUCCAGAAAGGAAGUCUCUGGCGUCUGGGCCUUCUCCUCUCUCUGCUCUGCCUUUCCUUUGAAGCUCUCCUCACAGAGGUCUCUGGCAGCCAGCGUUCCCCAGUCCAGUUUCUAUAGUCCUUGCUGCUGCUAAGUCGCUUCAGU